AUUAGCCUUUAGGAUGCGAUUUUGUGGAGUGUGAGGAGCUAAUCGCCUUCAUGCCUGUAUAUUCGUGUACUUGGGGUGUACUUAUUCGUGUGGUAAGUUAACAUCAAUUUUGGUCGUCAUAAAAUGACUGGAGGAAUGUAGCUUCGAUCUCGUAUUGAAGUGUUAUAGCCUUUGGUAGAUGUGAUUAUCGGGAUUGAGGAUUGCAACGGAUACCCUUCGGGGCUACUUGUCUGAUCUCUGAUCGUUGCUCUGGUGCCGAAAGCGUGCUUACGGUUAUCAAAGUCGAUGGUUAAUAGGUUAGAAUGGGUUAAAUUCGUUAAGGAUGUUGACGUAAUGGCUUU
rnacentral:rRNA from 1 species